AAAAAAUCUCAAAUUUUAUAAUUUUUAUAAUUAUAUCAUUUAAAUUGCAAGCAUGGACAUGGGAUACAGUGGAGAAGAGCAAUUCCUCAAUCAAAAAUUUUCUUAUAUAGCAGCCUUGUUUAUGGGAUAAAUAAGAGUGCACAAGAAAAUUGCAAUCAUGGACAUGAUAGAAACAGAAGCAGGAGGAUCUCAAAAUUCUAAAGCUCUUGUAUAAGUCAUCUAGGUCCUGUCCUACUUCAGAUUAUAAAUCUUCCAACGAAUCAAUGUCAACUUGUCAGCCACAUGCUGAUGGCUUAGGCAUCUGUUCUUAGACGUUUGCAAUUAUCUGGGUCUGGAUUUUCAGAAGCUUCAACUUUAGGUGCCUUAUGCUUCUCACUUGGAUCAUGUGAUCCUUCUUGCAAUAGAGACUUGGCCUCAAUUGUGUCUGUGUUUGUCUUGCCAUGGUCUGACUGGGAGGUUUCCGUUUCAUUUUUGGCAGGGGAAUCAUGGAUUGCAUCGGAAGAUACAGCAGAGGGAUUCUCCAUAGCAGAUGAUGAAGCUUUCAGCUUGUCAGCACCUGAGUUGCACUGCUGUUCAAAUAUCAUUUGGAGGUACCUCCCUUGUUCUUCUAUACGUAACUGUAAAUUUCGUUGAAUCUGCAAAAACAAGGUCAGUGUCAAACUGUAAUCACAAAGGCAACCUGAAAAAUGCAUCUUGUGAGUACAUGAAUGCACACAGCAAGACCAUAUCAACUUGUAUGCAUGGAUGGAUGCCAGUAUCAUAUGUUCCAACGAUAAUGUCAACCAUUGUCACUGGACAUAUAAUUAAACUAGUUGAAAUCCUGCAUAUUGUGCAGGUUUAUUUUAUUUUAUAUAAAUUUUAAUAUUUAUAAUAAACAUAAUUAGAUUUGGAUGCCUAACUUAAAUUUUUAUAGUGAUUCUAAACAGUAAACAUCCAUUCAAAUUUAGUAAUAUAAAAAGAGGGCAAGAAAAUGAUUUGAGUAGAAGGAAGUGAUCCAAUAUUAAAGCGAUUUGAAAUUAAUUGAAUUGAAAUCAUCAAAUUGAUAAUAAGGCAAAAAAUUGUGAAUGCUCACUCUCUUAGGGGCAGGUGAAAUUAAGCCUAUACUUCAAUGCUCCAAAGUAGUAUUUGUGAGACGAGUGCAUUAUAUAAUGCACAAACUGGCCUCAUUGUCUCAAGGUGAAAAGUUAAGACCACCUAUCAAAUCUAAACAGAGUUCUUUUUUUGAGGAACAAAUUUAUACCUCAAGCUGUUCAUGCAGCCGUUUCUGAACUUCCAUCUGUAAUCGCAGAGCUUCAGUAAUCUCAAUACCCCUGCUUUUACAAAAUAAAAAUAGAUCAAAUACACAUUGGGCAGGAUAAUUCAAAGUGAAAUGGCACACAACUGUAAAUAGAUUUCAUUCAGAAACUGAAACUAUUUGAAUAAUGUGACAAUCUUUAAUAAAACAAGAUAAAGUGUUGAAUGUCAAUCCAUCAGAAGGCAAUUCAAGCUUCUAAACCUAAGACAAUUGGCAUCCCAAUUUUUCCGUCUCUGCCACUUUAUAGAUAUUAAAAUAGAGUUAGUAAAACUCAGUUUGUAAAGUCUCAUUUGGAGAUGCUUGACUCUACUUGUCAGUCAAUGAUUUGCCAAAUGCGCUUGAGUUAUAUAUAGGUAUUAAUGAAUGACAGCUUAUUCCCACCAGAAAACAUUCAAAUGCAAACAUAAUAACUCAAUAUUUUUAAGGUCUCCCUCAAAGUCAUAAUUUAGUUGGUUUUCAGGAAGCACAUCAAUUGAAAAUUGGAAUCCAAUUUAUGCAUGGUAGAUGAAUUAUGCUCCUGAGUUGAGCUGCUCAAAAGGGAGGAUAACGGGCACAAACAAGAGACUUUAAAUGCCACAAAAACUACAAGUAAGCUUUGUCAUCAUGCAGAAUUCCAUUCUUCCCCCAUUUUAGGCGCAUUACUCUUCAACUAGAAAUGCAAAUGCUGAAUGGUGUCCUAAUAUUCACAACUAUAACCUUCAAUGAAGAACAUACACGACAAACUCAUUCAGCUGCAUUUCAUAAGAGAUGAGAUUCAGGAGAAGAUAUUAAUACUAGGUCCAAGCAAAAACCUUCUUUAUAGUUUUUGGCCAAUAUUUUAUUUGUAGUUCUUAGGAUCUGACAUCAGGAAGAUUUUAUUGAAUUUGGUCUAACAUGGAGAUUGGUUUAUUGAUUUAAUGAUGGUUUAGAAGAAUUGAAUGGAAAGAAGACAAACAAAAUAUAAGAGAAGGAAGAGAACCUUCCAGAUAGAUAAGAAAUUCUGGUAUCAUUUGUAAUUGUUUGAUCGUUCCUUUUACAACUCAGAUUGCUCUCAUUUACAACAGCUAACAAAAAAGAAGAUAAUUAUUAUUGGUUUGAGUUUAACUAACUGGUAACAGUCAUUGAAAUUUUGACCCCACCUCACAUACAUGCACUCUCAUUUGAAUUCCUAUCAGUUGAAGUGGAAAAGCAGUCUGGCGCAACAAGAUACUGUCAAAUAAUUUUCAAUUUCAAUAACUCCCUACACAUUUGAUUUGACAUAGAUCCCGAAUCUAAACCAAUUAUCCAUAUUUCAUACAGUUAACAAUCAUCUCUUAAAGAAAAAGACAGUUAAAAAUGGCCCUUUCACAACCAGCGUGUCUCUGAAUUGACAGAAGCAAACAGUUAAAGAAAUCUGGAGGCAUGAGCAGCCAAUUUCCAAUGGUUAGAAAUCUUAUGUUUUCUAUUAGAAGUUGCAACCAAGUUUUCAAACAUCUAAGACUAAACCAAAGAAUUAAUGAAAAUCGAUAACUCUGAAUGCAUGUAUUAAUGAUUGAUAGACUUACGUUUUCAAGUCAAGAGACGAUAUUUCUUCCAUAGGAGUCAAUUUUUUCUCUGAGGAUCCUUCUGAUGAGUCUGGUAUGUAUCUGGCUGUCCUGUACUUCUGCAAGUGGCUUUUUACAUGAUAGAUCGUCAAGCCAUCAACUUUCAUGAGCUUCAGCACACCUUUUGGAGUAGCUCCUGUACAUUAAACAAGGGAAAUCAAUUGGAGCUGAAACCUUGCAACUUUAUGGUAAAUUCAGGGGCUGUCUCACGCACUUUCACUACCACCAAGCUGAUUGACAGCCUCCACAAAGGCUUCAUGAAGUUCUGGCGUCCAACGCAUGCGUGGCUUGGAUGGGGCAGUAUUGGCUGAGGAAGUAGGGGUAAGAACAGGACGAAUUUCUCCAGAAGAAGCAGGACACUGUUGAUGAACUUGGGGCUGGUGUGAUGGAACAUUUGAAGAUGGUUUCAACACCUGGUAUGCUGUCUGAAGCAACAAGAUGAGAGCAGGAGAAAACAUAGAGCACACAAAAAGAUAAAUUAAUUGCCUUAUGUCGUGAGAAGGCCCCAACCUUUGUUUCCGUUUCUGAAACACUGGUGUCAAUUAGAAGUUCACUCCAAUUAGACGUCAAAGCAUCGUCAUCGGUGAUCAGCUGUUCUGCCCAUUCCUGCCAAUCACUUCGUUUACUAAAUUCCUCAGAUGCAAUGACACCACAACUGUUGCCUUCUAUUUGAUUAUUUUGGACAGGGUUAUUUACAGGAAAAUCAAGAAAACCAGGCAGUGACUCAGGACACCAUGAAGCAUUGGUUUCUUUGACAUACUGACAUGACGUUGUGGAUUGAAGGAAUCUUGAAUGUGAAGAUUGUGGCAAUGUCAAAGCUGUCACGUUUGUAGAUGAUUGAGAAAUGAAAGGAGUGUUCCUAGAAUGUUUCUCCAGAGGUGAAACAGAAGAGUACUUAAGGUCUGAUGAGAAGCCAGCAGAUGAUGAAAAUAGAUGGCCAACUGCUCCACUGUUAGCGGUUAAUUGACUUGCAUGGACAACAGGCUUUGUCAUAAGACCCCUUUCCAUGGAAACCUGUUGAGAGUCUGAUAAUUUUGGGUAUGUCUCUUCUAGAGAGGUUGGCAGGACCGGCAAAGAUGAAGACAGAGCUGCAGACAGCCCAAGGUUACUCAGCUGCUUUGCACCUGAUCUCUGAAUAGAUAAAGCAGUGCGUGCCUCCAUUGUUGUCCUUCUGAAAGCACCCUUAGUGGUUUUCAAUAUCGAGCCUCCAGAAAGGUCAUCAAUUUACACAUCUAAAACUUCAUAGAAACAAAAGGAAAUUGAAACCCAAAAGCUCAAUCUCAAAUCGAGUUUAGAGGAAGAGAAAGAACGACAGAAACAAUUCUCUAAAGAGACAUGUGGGUCUUUCUCGAAUUGCGUCACCGGCGCGCGAGAGAAGUGAACGGUGAGCAGUGAGCUUUGUCUCUUUUCUUCUUUUUUUUUUCCCUUUGGGUUCUGAGGGCGUGAUAAGGAACAGUGAUUUCCCACGCUCCACUUGGGGAGCGUGUGGAAAAGCAACAGAGAAAGGUUGGGAACAGUGAAUGGUUUAUGAUUGGAGGGUGAUGGAAAGAUCUGAUGGGUUGCACAUGGGAUUACGUCGGCCAUUGACUUGAGUUCUCUUCUUUCAGUUCGCUAAAAGGCCAAAACCGAACAGAAAGCAAACUUAUUAGUUAGAAUUAUAUUAAAUUUUCCUUCUCAAUUUGAUUAAAGGAAUACCAUUUAUGUUAACGAUAAUACAUAUGUUAUACUGAAAUCAUUUUUUUUUAUAAACACGCAAUGGUGGAGCCGCCUUAAAAAAGCGGGUCAACUGAGAAGAAGUCACCUUCCAAAGUGCAGCAACUGCUAAGGUAGAGCUUGACCUCUUCAAUGGCUCUCUCAGAAUCUGCUUCAUACUGAGAAGAAGUCAUAUAAUGCUUGAUUUAAGCAACACAUUCCUGAGGCACAAUCUCAAACUCUCUAAUGUUGUUUAGCUCCACAUUAAUCCUCCACCUCUCAUAAUGGUUCUUCAAGCUAAAGCUAAAGUCGACAUCGCAUGAGCAUUAUUAUACUUACCUCAGGUUUACAGACUUCCGGUCGGUAAUGGUAUCAGAGCCUGUGUGUCCAAGAAGGGGAGAGAAUUCGAGGGAAAAAAAGGCUGGUCAUUGACUAAGUGGCUAUUAGUCCAAUGCAGAGGCUUGUCAA
rnacentral:misc_RNA from 1 species